GUAGGGGGCUAGCGUUGUCCGGAAUCACUGGGCGUAAAGGGUUCGCAGGCGGAAUAACAAGUCAGAUGUGAAAGGCAUGGGCUCAACCCAUGUAAGCAUUUGAAACUGUAAUUCUUGAGAAGUGGAGAGGUAAGUGGAAUUCCUAGUGUAGCGGUGAAAUGCGUAGAUAUUAGGAGGAAUACCUGUGGCGAAGGCGACUUACUGGACACAAAUCUGACGCUGAGGAACGAAAGCGUGGGUAGCAAACAGGGAUUAGAUACCCUGGUAGUCCACGCCGUAAACGAUGAGUGCUAGGUGUCGGGGGGGAGACCUCGGUGCCCGGCGUUAACACAAUAAGCACUCCGCCUGGGGGGGUACGUGCGCAAGCAUG
rnacentral:rRNA from 1 species